rnacentral:rRNA from 1 species
UACGAAGGGGGCUAGCGUUGCUCGGAUUGACUGGGCGUAAAGGGCGCGUAGGCGGUUCGUACAGUCAGACGUGAAAUUCCUGGGCUCAACCUGGGGGCUGCGUUUGAUACGUGCGGACUUGAGUGCGGAAGAGGGUCGUGGAAUUCCCAGUGUAGAGGUGAAAUGCGUAGAUAUCUGCAGGAACACCCGUGGCGAAAGCGGCGCGCUGGACCACUACUGACGCUGAGGAACGAAAGCUAGGGGAGCAAACAGG